rnacentral:sRNA from 1 species
CGUCGGGUUGAAACCCGACGCUAUCGAAUGACACCGCUCCGCGGUU